rnacentral:misc_RNA from 1 species
UAGUGGUCAAGAAAUAAGUAACUUUCCAGAAAGAUGAGAGAUGCAUGCACUAAAUACCAUUCGUCAAUAGAAAACCAGUACCACCCCUUGGAUUCCGUGAGAUGGCCGCUGGUUUUAAUAUAUUUACUUUACCCUACCUGGGAAUUCUUUUUUUAUCUUAUUUUCUUUCCGACCAAUCAAAUUCAUUUUUCAUACUAAAGCAAGGAACGUGGCUGCCGUAGACCACCUAUACAUAGUGGUCCAUCCACUACCUGAUUCUUUUGAAGUCUACUUUAUAUACAUCCACUGCCCUGCUGGGUUUUGUCCUCCGUCCCAGAAUUGCUUUCUCCUCCUUCUCCUUUUCACUUCUGCUCGCCAGAGCUGUAGGCAUCGUUUUCUUUCAUUCUUUUACAUAAAAGAUCGAUCUCAUGUCUUACUACGGUCACGAGCCUUACUUCCUCGAAGCGUGCUUUCUUUGCCGGAAACCUCUUGGUUGCAACUCUGACAUCUUCAUGUACAGGUUAGAUAGCCCUCGUUCCCUUUUUCUCUGCUCUGUUUGGUUGGCUAUUUUAAUUUAUUUUCUGAUUGGAAUUGGAAUUGAAUUUUGCAGAGGGAAUACCCCGUUUUGUAGCAAAGAGUGCAGA